rnacentral:lncRNA from 1 species
AAAACCAUUGAAAUAGUUAGUGGUGGAUCUAGAAACACUUUCUAUCGAUCUGACUCGAAAUAUAUAUAUGAACGAUUUUUUGUCUUCAAAUAAACUCAUGGUUCAAAUGAAAGUAGAAUUAUUGCUUUGUUAGAAAAGGAAAACUAGAAUAGCUUUAUGUUUUUCUUUUCUUAUUUUCACAAAAAAAAAAAAAGAUUGACUGUUUCUUCAAAUCUAUACUAUUAAUUGGGGAUCAUUUUUAGUCUUUGUUGCCAAACAAACCUGAAAAAAAAAUAUUAGAAAAAUGUGAUUGCAAACCUAUUGCCAAACACAUUUAAAGACAGCAAAAAAU